GUGCUCACUUUGGCAGUACAUAUGCUAAAAAUUGGAACGAUACAGAGAAGAUUAGCAUGGCCCUUGUGUAAGGAUGACAAAUUUGUGAAGCAUUCCAUAUUCAU